UCAACCGAGAUUCCCCCAGUAGCGGCGAGCGAACGGGGAGGAGCCCAGAGCCUGAAUCAGUGUGUGUGUUAGUGGAAGCGUCUGGAAAGGCGCGCGAUACAGGGUGACAGCCCCGUACACAAAAAUGCACAUAUUGUGAGCUCGAUGAGUAGGGCGGGACACGUGGUAUCCUGUCUGAAUAUGGGGGGACCAUCCUCCAAGGCUAAAUACUCCUGACUGACCGAUAGUGAACCAGUACCGUGAGGGAAAGGCGAAAAGAACCCCGGCGAGGGGAGUGAAAAAGAACCUGAAACCGUGUACGUACAAGCAGUGGGAGCCUCUUAAUGGGGUGACUGCGUACCUUUUGUAUAAUGGGUCAGCGACUUAUAUUCUGUAGCAAGGUUAACCGAAUAGGGGAGCCGAAGGGAAACCGAGUCUUAACUGGGCGUUAAGUUGCAGGGUAUAGACCCGAAACCCGGUGAUCUAGCCAUGGGCAGGUUGAAGGUUGGGUAACACUAACUGGAGGACCGAACCGACUAAUGUUGAAAAAUUAGCGGAUGACUUGUGGCUGGGGGUGAAAGGCCAAUCAAACCGGGAGAUAGCUGGUUCUCCCCGAAAGCUAUUUAGGUAGCGCCUCGUGAAUUCAUCUCCGGGGGUAGAGCACUGUUUCGGCAAGGGGGUCAUCCCGACUUACCAACCCGAUGCAAACUGCGAAUACCGGAGAAUGUUAUCACGGGAGACACACGGCGGGUGCUAACGUCCGUCGUGAAGAGGGAAACAACCCAGACCGCCAGCUAAGGUCCCAAAGUCAUGGUUAAGUGGGAAACGAUGUGGGAAGGCCCAGACAGCCAGGAUGUUGGCUUAGAAGCAGCCAUCAUUUAAAGAAAGCGUAAUAGCUCACUGGUCGAGUCGGCCUGCGCGGAAGAUGUAACGGGGCUAAACCAUGCACCGAAGCUGCGGCAGCGACACUAUGUGUUGUUGGGUAGGGGAGCG
rnacentral:rRNA from 1 species